rnacentral:rRNA from 1 species
UGGGGGAUUUUGGACAAUGGGCGCAAGCCUGAUCCAGCCAUGCCGCGUGCGGGAAGAAGGCCUUCGGGUUGUAAAGCUCUUUCGGCGGGGACGAAACGGUUCGUGUUAACACCACGGACUAAUGACGGUACUCGCAGAAGAAGCACCGGCUAACUACGUGCCAGCAGCCGCGGUAAUACGUAGGGUGCAGGCGUUAAUCGGAAUUACUGGGCGUAAAGCGUGCGCAGGCGGCUCCUUAAGUCAGAGGUGAAAUCCCGGAGCUCAACUUCGGAACUGCCUUUGAUACUGGCAAUCUAGAGUCCGGAAGAGGUUAGUGGAAUUCCCAGUGUAGAGGUGAAAUUCGUAGAUAUUGGGAAGAACACCAGUGGCGAAGGCGGCUAACUGGUCCGGUACUGACGCUGAGGUGCGAAAGCGUGGGGAGCAAACAGGAUUAGAUACCCCAGUAGUCCCUGAGCGGGCUGGCAAGGCGCAU